GUAUGUGUUCCAAAAUUAUGAGAAACCCCUGUAAUUCUGAUAUGACUUGGUAUAUGUUUUGAGGAAUAAAUAUAAUUGUUAUGUUAAAUUGUUGUGUACCACAGAAGUAACCAAAUUUUCUUAUCAAUUUUGUCUUUGAUUGUGACUGCCCUAAGACUUCUUGUCAUCCAUAGACAAUUGUUUUCUUAUUUUGAUCCUCCUUCAAAAGACAGUUUAUAAUUAGCGAUACCACUCUCAUGAGUACUCCUAAACAUAGUCUGUGAUAAUUUUGGAAAGUGUGCUAUUAAAAUAAAGAGGAAAGAACUUCCAAGAUUCUCUUGGAAAACGAAUGUGUUCACAAAUGUCGAGCAAAACAGGAAUUAACUGCAUAGGCUAAACUAAUAAAAGGCCAAAGUAAUCUUUUUAUGACUUUUUGUUUAAAACAUUGCUGAUCCUUUCUGUUUUGGUUUUCAGAGUCAAGAAAACUUUUUUCUUUUUAGCUAUUUAUGGCUUUUAGCAGUUAAGUAAAGUAUACUCCUAUAAAUAAAUUUUGGAGCAUAUCUCUCUCCACCUGAUUUUUCCAGAAUUUGGAAACUAUUUGCUUUGACUGGAAUGGCAUGCUUUCACAUAUAAACAUCCUGCUCUAAGGAAUCAAAGUUGACUUAUAGAGCUAAUAAAAGCCCCUUGGAAAAACUAGCUUCAUACCUUGCCUAUGCAUUCCCUGUACAGGAUUCUUGACCUGUGGCUAGAGGUGAACACUUAACCAUGAGUAGAAGCUCUGGAGAUGAAAAAGUAUUAGAAAAACACAGAUAACAAAGAAUCAACAGAGCGCUUGGAUAUUUAUGUUCAUGGCAUGUGUAUAUAUUUUACAUGUAUCAAGAUUAAGACAAAAAGGUUGCCCCCUUCAGCAUGUCGAGUCAUGUGAGGGUGGCUACCCUCUGGGGCUGCAGCUUUCUCACUUUGGAAGACUUAUGAGUUUUUUCCUGUGCCCUGUACAGUGAAGAACAAAGAAACUAGUGACAGUUUGAUGAGAAACAGAUAUACACAUAGCUUCAAAGAAUCUCUCCAUAAAGUACUUAUUCAUUAUAAAAGGAAAAAAAUAAUUUCAUAGGGAAGAAACCUGGUGGAUGACAUCUUAAUCAAGUGAUCAAAGUUACCACCACGACUAAUGACACAAACCAACAUUAUAUGCCUCCUGAUGUGAUGUGACAUGCUAGAAAGAAAACAACAUCAUUUAUACGGUAUUUCUGCCAGAGAAACAUAAUCUGCAUUUUCAUGUUAAAGUGAAGUCGAUUAUACAUAGCAUUGUUAAAAGUGAUUUUGGAGUUUUUCUCUUCAUACAAUUUUAAGGUUGUAAAGUUGACAGUCUGUUUUUAAUUCACUUUUACAAGUUGUAAAUGUUUUGCAAAUAUGUUUCUUUCCUGUAAGAUUUAUUUCUUAGCUGGUUAACCUAGACAAAUUGAUUUCCCAGAGGUUACUUUGUUUAAUGUUAUGGUACCUAUACACUAAAUAAUCUAUAAGGAUAAGACAAUAUACUUUGAUGUUUAUUUUACAUAUUUAUAAACAUUUUUGACUCAAAUUAUGAAAAAGUUUUUCCUAAAAUUUUCUAGUGGAUGUGCUGUCUCUUAACAUUCUCCUUAGCUGUCAAUUGAUUUCCUUGUUUAACUAUUUUAAAGUUCUUUAUAAUAGUUGUUAUUCAUAAAUCAAGUGCUUUUACUCUUACAAUAAAAAUAUACACUUAUAUUUCCACUCACAAUGCACUUAAAGAAAACUUUCAGUCCUGGUUACAUUUAAAAUAGUUACCUACAUUUAUUUUAUAUUGACAAUAUCUGAAUCAAAAACCCACUGAUAGCAUCUACUAAAGCUGAACAUUCACACAUUGCAUGAAAUAGGAAAGGAGGGCUUAUGUCCUCCAAUAGGUGUGUUCAUAGCAGUUUAGUAUAAAAUCCCCAAACUGCCUAUCAACAGUAGUGUCUCUCAAUAGGAGAAUGUAUAAGGACAUUUUAGUAUACUUAUACAAUCAAGCAGUGGAAAAAAAUAAACUAUUGCUUUAUGCACCAACAUGGAUAAAUAUCACAGACCUAUUGAUAAAUGAAAGAAGUCAGAAAUGAAAAGGCUGAAAAUUGUAUGAGCCAUGUAUGUGAAAAUCAAGAACAGACAAAACCAAUCUACAGUGACAGAUGUCAGAAUGAUGGUUACCUUUAGAGUUUAUUGAGUGCAAGAAUAUGGGUGUAGCCUUCUGGGAUGUUGAAAAUAUUCUCUAUGUUGAUUUGGGUAUGGCUUAAAAGGAUUUAUGCAUGUCUAGAAAGUUAUCAAGCUGUGCAAUUAAGACCUAUGUAUUUUAUUAUAUGUAAUCUAUACCA
rnacentral:lncRNA from 1 species